UACGGAGGGAGCUAGCGUUGUUCGGAAUUACUGGGCGUAAAGCGCGCGUAGGCGGCUUUGUAAGUUAGAGGUGAAAGCCCGGGGCUCAACCCCGGAAUUGCCUUUAAGACUGCAUCGCUUGAAUCCGGGAGAGGUGAGUGGAAUUCCGAGUGUAGAGGUGAAAUUCGUAGAUAUUCGGAAGAACACCAGUGGCGAAGGCGGCUCACUGGACCGGUAUUGACACUGAGGCACGAAAGCGUGGGGAGCAAACAGG
rnacentral:rRNA from 1 species